UACGUAGGGCGCAAGCGUUAUCCGGAAUUACUGGGCGUAAAGCGUGCGCAGGCGGGCUUUUAAGCCAGACGUGAAAUCCCCGGGCUUAACCUGGGAAUGGCGUUUGGGACUGGGAGUCUGGAGUGCGGCAGAGGAGACUGGAAUUCCUGGUGUAGCAGUGAAAUGCGUAGAUAUCAGGAGGAACACCGAUGGCGAAGGCAGGUCUCUGGGCUGACACUGACGCUCAUGCACGAAAGCGUGGGGAGCAAACAGG
rnacentral:rRNA from 1 species